rnacentral:rRNA from 1 species
UACGUAGGGGGCGAGCGUUGUCCGGAAUCAUUGGGCGUAAAGCGCGUGUAGGCGGCCCGGUAAGUCCGCUGUGAAAGUCCAGGGCUCAACCCUGGGAUGCCGGUGGAUACUGUCGGGCUCGAGUCCGGAAGAGGCGAGUGGAAUUCCUGGUGUAGCGGUGAAAUGCGCAGAUAUCAGGAGGAACACCAAUGGCGAAGGCAGCUCGCUGGGACGUGACUGACACUGAGGCACGAAAGCUAGGGGAGCAAACAGG